rnacentral:rRNA from 1 species
CAGUAGCCGCGGGAAUACAGAGGAUGCAAGCGUUAUCCGGAAUGAUUGGGCGUAAAGGGCUCGUAGGUGGUUGAUCGCGUCGGAAGUGAAAUCUUGGGGCUUAACCCUGAGCGUGCUUUCGAUACGGGUUGACUUGAGGAAGGUAGGGGAGAAUGGAAUUCCUGGUGGAGCGGUGGAAUGCGCAGAUAUCAGGAGGAACACCAGUGGCGAAGGCGGUUCUCUGGGCCUUUCCUGACGCUGAGGAGCGAAAGCGUGGGGAGCGAACAGGCUUAGAUACCCCCGUAGUCCCUGUCUCUUAUAC